AAUAUUUAUUUCGUGUCAAAUUUUCAAAGAAUGGGAUAGGAUUUUUUAUUACUUACUACUAGGCGUGUCGAUUAAAUAACAUUCCUUGCUAAGCGAAAUCCGGUAACACCGCCGUGUUGGUUAGCAAUACAUGGAAUCUAACAUAUUAUUAUACAACACUAAUGAUGAAGAAUAGUGAGCGAUUUUUAAUUAUAACAUCAUUAAUAACCCACAUCAAUAUUUAAAGAAAAAACAACAUUAAGAACGCACAGAAAGUAAAAGCUCCAGAGAUGUCGAAAGAAUUAAAUCGUGUAUAAACGCGCGAAAGUGGUAUUUGAAUGCCAAAACACAAACGAUUGUUCUGAAGAAAAAAAUUAUAACGUAAUAUCAUCUGCACAUGGCAUUAUUAACAUUAGUCGGAAAAUAGUUUCAUGAAAAAAAAUUGUAUCACAAAUCACAAUGAAAACGUGACACGACCGGUCGGUCAGGUGAAAGGCUUUUUUCUCGCGUGUGGCGGCUGUUGCGAGUAUUAUUUGAUCGGAAAUACAUUCUCACUAAUGUUGACACAAAAUCGAAAUGAUGAAAUCAUCACCAAAUGGUCAUAAUAAAUAAUGAAAUGCGGCAAAGAUAAAACUCCCACGCACACACAGUUUAACG